ensembl:lncRNA
AGGAGGUUCUGCAUUGGUGUCUUUGGAACAGAUACGGAUUUAAAUAGACAUGGGAAAACAGAUGAAGACAGCAGAUGGAAGAACUAGGAAGUGAAUCAGCCAUGGCAUGUGGAAGCCACUCUGUCCUCCACUAAGAUGAGCAGUGUCUACCUGGAAUGGGUCAGAGAUCAUUCAGUUCAAGUGGUUCGUGCUACAGAUUACAUCACUCCUCUGUCUUCUUGUUAAGUUUGGCCAAUGGAAGGUUCCACCUGGGCAUCAGAAGUUGAAAGGCGAGUCAAUGUGGGAUACCUCUUUCUGACUUCACCUCUGCUCUGAUGCUUUCAUUCUGUAGG